rnacentral:tRNA from 1 species
GGGCGGUUAGCUCAGUUGGUGGAGCAUCUCGUUUACACCGAGAGAGCCGACGGUUCGAGCCCGUCACCGCCCACCA